rnacentral:tRNA from 1 species
GCUCUCGUAGUGUAACUGUAAACACGUUUAGCUAGCAAUUGGUAGAUCUUGGUUCGAAUCCUAGUGAGGGCA